UUAAAGGGCCUAAAUAUCCUAAAAACGUCAGAUCCCAUCUGUUCUUGGAAGAUAAGCAGGUUAAGUCUUAGUUACCUUGAUGGGAGACUGUCAAUGAAUACCAGAUGCUUUAGGAA
rnacentral:rRNA from 1 species